UAUUAAUACUUGGUGGCAUGGGCCCCCUGGUGAGGGUCUUACAUGCUAAUUGCACUUCCUCCUCUCUCUAUUGUGUAAUAUCAGAGCUAAUUUUGAUUCUGUUAGGAGUCUAGUUAAAGGCUGCUGAGCUCGCUUUGGGCUAAUGGUGUACUAGUACUGAGGCUCCCCUACUACAAGCUGAAUUCACCAAAGAGCUGAACUGACUAAGAGCUGAAAUCACUGAGUGUUGUGUUAAGUAGUGGGGGAGCCUGAAGAUAUAUUGUGGAGCAGUUUGCGGGAUGGCUGGAGUGCCUUGUGGAUAGGCUGGUGGAGCAAUUUGUGGGACGGCGGGAGCUGCUUGUGGGCCGCAGAGCGGAACUGAGCAAAGCAGUUUGUGGGGCGGCUGGUGGAGCGGAGCAGAGCAAAGGCCUAUGGAGCUGUGGGGCGGUCAGCUUCAGAUCAACUCUCAGCUGCUUUUAGAUAUUGACUGAAAGAUCACUCUUUCAAUGGAAUUCAGCGCAAAGCACUUUGCACAGUAACUGGCCAUGGAAAGAAGCUCUUUGGCAAGAUAUAAAGAGACUAGACUAUGUCCAGGCAGUAACAAACCCUACAUGGGAGAUUCAGAAUUAUUCUCCUCUUGAAACACAGAUAAAGUGACUGAAAACUCUUCUUCACACAUGUGGACAGGAAGCAAACUCUAUAGAAGAAUCAGAGGAGCCAUUAACGAUGCCUGGAAGCCUUUAAAAAACAGUCCUGACUGCUCUAGAGUUCUAAUCUAAACUGCCAUGGAAGGAGCAUGGCAGUAUUAAUGGCAUGCAAGGAACAGAUGCUUUGGCUCAUAACUUGGUUGCAGAGCUGAAGAAGAUGACCAAAAUAUUUGUCACGUUAGUGGGGGAAUUAGAAAAAGAUUACAUCUAGAAUCAACUUUUAUCUGGAUUAAGUAUCUUUCCCAGUCACAGUUACCCUUCCCCACAAGUCUCAUUACACUGGUUAGAUUGUAUUGGCUGGGCCACUGAUGCUAUGUAAGUCUUGGUGCAAUAAACAGAUGCAGCUUCUUAAUAUUCAUGUUUCCUAUUCAAUCUUCUUAAAAUCCAUAGAAUUUGGCCACCACUUCAGGGCAUUCCCCAAUGUGGGGCCAGCAAAUGGAAGUGGAGUUCUGCCCUGACAAUGGGAUAUAUAUGCUAUAAAAAUAAUAAUUAUUAUGCCCGGGAACUGAUUUUUCAAGGUGGUGAGAUAACUGGACUACAGAGGCGGUAGGGUGGUGAUGAGGAAGGACCGAAGAUUCACAACAUUAAUGUAAUUUUCUGGGGAAAUUCUUGUUCACUCAUGCUCCUCUCUGAG